rnacentral:tRNA from 1 species
GACGGGUAGUGGUGAGAAAACGGGUGAAAAAUAAGGUGAUGGGGCGUUAAUGUGUGAUGAUACAGGAUUUAUUCACAAUUUACAGGAUUCCUAAUCCUGGUGCCGCAGGUUCGAUUCCUGCCGGGGUCACCA